rnacentral:lncRNA from 10 species
GCCUGCCGCCCCUGCGCCGCCGAGCCAGCUGCCAGAAUGCCGAACUGGGGAGGAGGCAAGAAAUGUGGGGUGUGUCAGAAGACGGUUUACUUUGCCGAAGAGGUUCAGUGCGAAGGCAACAGCUUCCAUAAAUCCUGCUUCCUGUGCAGUGAGUACGCCCCAGGCCCUAUUGCUGUUGCCUUGGACACCCUGGACGGGCCUGCCCCCACAGGCUGGGCCUGUCAACACCCCAGGGAACUGAUCCCAUGGGAUGUAAACAGCUUGACAUUUGGCUGAAGCGCAGCUGGGCAGGGAAACACUUCAGGGCCUCUUUGUUCCGUUCAGAAGCUUCUUUCUAAGGGAUGAACUGGCCAGAGCGGGUCGGGGUGGCAGGCGUUCAGGGGCUGAAAGCCAAGCUGUAAAGACUUGGUUAAGAAAACUUUCCACUCAGCUCUCUCUUCUCUCUCUCCCUGUCAUGAUUUCACCAUUUCAGAGGAAAACACUUUCAGCCCUUUGCACCCUAAUUAUCUCUUGUUCAAAGGCAACAGAGGCCACAACCUCAUGGUGAAGCUGAAUCUGGAGGAAGAGUGGGGCUCCUCCUUCCUCAGCCCCUUGCAGGCUGGCCUGUUCAGUUCUUCACUUCCCAUUCCCACUCAGCCUGGGAUGAGAGGAAGAGGGAGUACAAAGUUCCCUGAUAUCUACUCCUAAGAAGCCAGAGCAAGGUUUGCUCCAGUCAUAAGCCUAGAUGAGUAAGAAAUCAGA